rnacentral:rRNA from 1 species
CCGUAGCCUGGUAGGCGGGGAUAACUAUUGGAAACGAUAGCUAAUACCGCAUAACAGUAGAUAUCGCAUGAUAGCUGCUUGAAAGGUGCAACUGCACCACUACCAGAUGGACCUGCGUUGUAUUAGCUAGUUGGUGAGGUAACGGCUCACCAAGGCAACGAUACAUAGCCGACCUGAGAGGGUGAUCGGCCACACUGGGACUGAGACACGGCCCAG